rnacentral:rRNA from 1 species
UACGUAGGGUGCAAGCGUUAAUCGGAAUUACUGGGCGUAAAGCGUGCGCAGGCGGUUGUGCAAGACCGAUGUGAAAUCCCCGGGCUUAACCUGGGAAUGGCAUUGGUGACUGCACGGCUAGAGUGUGUCAGAGGGGGGUAGAAUUCCACGUGUAGCAGUGAAAUGCGUAGAGAUGUGGAGGAAUACCGAUGGCGAAGGCAGCCCCGUGGGAUAACACUGACGCUCAUGCACGAAAGCGUGGGGAGCAAACAGG